rnacentral:rRNA from 1 species
CAGUAGCCGCGGUAAUACGGAGGGGGCUAGCGUUGUUCGGAAUUACUGGGCGUAAAGCGCACGUAGGCGGCUUGGUAAGUUAGAGGUGAAAGCCUGGAGCUCAACUCCAGAAUUGCCUUUAAGACUGCCGAGCUAGCAGGUGAGAGAGGUAAGUGGAAUUCCGAGUGUAGAGGUGAAAUUCGUAGAUAUUCGGAAGAACACCAGUGGCGAAGGCGGCUUACUGGCUCAUACUGGACGCUGAGGUGCGAAAGCGUGGGGAGCAAACCGGAUUAGAUACCCCCGUAGUCCCUGUCUCUUAUAC